rnacentral:rRNA from 1 species
AUUGAACGCUGGCGGCAUGCCUUACACAUGCAAGUCGAACGGCAGCACGGGUGCUUGCACAUGGUGGCGAGUGGCGAACGGGUGAGUAAUACAUCGGAAAGUACCUUAUCGUGGGGGAUAAACCAUUGAAAAAUUUGACAAUAACGCAUAAUACUAUGAGGAGGAAAGCGCGGGAUUCGUAAGAACUUCGCGCGAUUAGAGCGGCCGAUGGCUCAUUAGCUAGUUGGUGAGGUAAAGACCCACCAAGGCAACAAUGAGUAGCAGGGCUAAGAGGAUGAUGUGCCGCACUGGAACUGAGAAACGGUCCAGACUGCUACUGGAGGCAGCAGUGGAGAAUUUUGGACAAUGGGGGCAGCCCUGUUCCAGCAAUGGCGGGUGAGUGAAGAAGGCCUCCGGGUUUUAAAGCUCUUUUGUCGGGGAAGAAAACUUUAAUAAUAACACGAUUAAAGCAUGACGGUAACUGAAGAAUAAGGACCGGCUAACUACGUGCCAGCAGCCGCCGUAA